ensembl:lncRNA
CCAUCCGUCCAUCCAUCCGUUUUCUGAGGCACUUAUCCCACACAGGGUCGCGGGGAACCCGGAGUCUAUCCUGGGGGACACCCUGGAUGGGAGGCAGGAUUCGAACCCCCAACCCUGGAGGUGCGAGGCAGUCACUGUGCCAGCACCAGGUGGAAAGAGGUUAGGAAAUUAGGCAAAAAAAAAAAAAUGGAAGCACUUACCUGGUCCACAUCUCCAUCUCUGGGAGUCUCAUCUACUUCCACUUCACUGUUGUGGUUGCCUCUCUCAUCUCUCACAGUUUCAGUGACCUUUGAACUUGUCUGCACAUGGCAGUCAUUUGUGACAACCUUUGACCCUGGGAACUCUGGUGGUUGCUUUUUGACCAUCAGUGGCCAAGUAGAUUUGCUGUCAGAGUCUGAAAUGGUUGUAGACAUGGUUGCUCUUGCCUGAGUAGCGGAUCCACGGUUCUUCUUGACUCCAUCGUCACCUUGCUCUCUCCUGUUGGCUGCUCUACUUCUCGUGAUCAGGGGAUUUUUCUCGCAGCUUUGAUCAGUGUUCACUGGUCUUGGAGCGGAAGUGGCCCUUGAGAUGACUUUAGGUUUGACAUCCUUCAGAUUAGGUCUAGAAAACCGUUUUAGCUCCAUUUUGGUGGAUUUGGUUUUAGGGGGUUCCAUGGCAGACGUGGUGUGAGAUAUAUCUGAAGGAUCAUUGGUAUUUUGUGAGGUGUUUCUUUUAGGAAAACAUGGAGGAUCUUUGAUGUUCUGGAUGGAUGAAGAUGAAGGAGCACCUUGGGAAACCGAAGGCAACAUUGUCUGAUUGAGGACUAAUUCUGCAGGUGGUUGAGCUGGAGAUUUCUCAGCGGAAAGGUCAACAGUUGCCUGCACAGUCUCCUGGUGGGUCUCGGUCACAAGAUCCACAUUGGGCCUCUGGGCUGAGGUCUGGAUCUGGAUCUCCUCAUCCUGAAGCUCCACUGACUCCUGAAGAACCUCCAGACUCACAGAGCCCACAUUAAGACUCCUGUCUGAGCACUGCAUCUGCUCCUCCUUCUUGUGAAGCUCUACAGGCUCCUGAUGAGCCUUCUGGUGAAGCUCACUCCCAAGAUCCACCUCAGUCCAAUUGGUUGAUCUCUGCAUCUUGCUUUCUUCAUUGUAAAACACCUGAGAAGCCUCCUGGUGGAGCUCACUCACAAGGCCCACAGUGGGACUGUGGUUUGAGCUGCACAUCUGGACUUCCUCAGACUCGCUUCGUUUACUCAUUACUACAUCAGAAGACCUCAGAGACAGAAAAGAAUCGUCUUCUUCAUCCUCAUCCUCAGAAGACAACAGCUGUGCCUCUGUAGCUGAAGAGUCAACCGAGCCUCGUCUUCCUCGCUCUCCAUCAACACCAGCAUCGCUGAAGACAUUGUCAUUCUCAUGAUUUUGAAUUAUUGUAUUAUCAUACUCUUCUUCAUUGGCAUCUAAAUAAACAGAAACCGAGUUGUCAUUCUCAUCGGGUCUGCAAUCUGGGCUCUGGAUCCCUGAGUCAUCUUCACUGGCGGCUGCUUUCCUUCCCAUCAUGCCCUCUGGCAAUUCCACGUCCAGACUACUAAGACUGUAUGUGGAGUCCGGUGAUGAUGAUGCUGACGACGCUGAUGACGCCGAUGAGGAUUUGAGGAAAUUGUUGUUGUUGUGCAACUGUAGGCACAUGCUUUGGUGGACCCCAUCCUGGGGCUUCAUGGGUAGAGCAGAUGGAGGAAGCUCACUCAUGUUUCCAUUCAAACACAACAAUACCAGUCAGAGAUUAGCCAGCUAGCACUGUCACAUGUCCAAUAGUCCCUCUGGACAUGACACUCUUAGAUAAAACCCACUUGGGGGACAAUUCGAAAGAUUGUAGCAUUCUGGCGUUUGUUGGAAGCCCAUCUGAUCCUUAACAAGGGACCUAAAAGAAGGAAAAGAAAGCUGUUUACUAACACCAAACACAUUAAAGACCAGACAGAAUCUUCUCAUGUUCCUUAUAUUUAGACAUUAUUAAUAAGUGUUUAUGCUAGCUUCAUUCGCAAUAAGAAUCAUCAGAAGUUCCUGGUCUAAAAGGUGCAAAUGAAAGGAAUUAUGGGUGGAGCUUAGGAAGCCAUUGUGGUUGCCAUUUUGAGCCUAAAGAAUCAAUAAAGGUUAUGAAAAGAAUCAAAGAAUUGAACUACUAAAGGGAGUCAAAAGAAUCACUAAUGCAAGCUAAAGGAAUCAAAUAACUUACAUGAUCCAAAAGAGUCAAGUCUUUAGUGAGCCAAAAUAAUCGAAUCACUCGUGUGAGCCUAAGGAAUCAAGGCAAAAAAAGUAAUGUAAGCUAGCAAAAACUAAUUACUAAUGUGAGGCAAAAGAAUCGGAUCACUGUGAAGUUAAGAAUCAUGUGAGCCAAAAUAAACGAAUCAUUAAAGUGAGCUGAAUUAGUUUUAGCCCAAAGAAUCAAAUUAUUAAUGUGGGCCAAAAUAAUCGAAUCACUAAUGUCAGCCAAAUGAAGACUGGGAAGUGCGUGUGUGUGUGUGUGCGCGUGCGUGCGCGCGUGUGUGUGUACUGCUGCCCUCUACUGGUCUAACUCAAACACUCAAUAGUCAUAUCUUCCUUGGCCUAAAUGUAGAUGUCCUCAACAAACAUCCAAGUCUAAUAACCUCCACAUACACAUCUGGUGAAGGCCACGCCUUUAACCACACCUGUCCAUCAAAUCGCUCCAGCUAAUGUGGGUCAGAACGAAGCUAUUAAAAGGUGUGCCACUUUUAUCUUAAUAAUCAGGGCAGAAUUUCUCUGUCUCGUGCCUGAUACAGAGGCCACAAGAAAUACUGGCCUUGUGUUGAGAAAGAGAGAGAAUAAAGAGAGAGGCCGAUGGGGGAAUCACUUAAAUUGCAAAUGAGAAUAAUUAUAAGUUUGAUAGCCAAUUUCCAAUUCCAAAGAAUCACUUACGGAGCCGAAAGAAUCAAAUCACUAAUGUUACAAAUCACAAAUGUAAGCCAAACGUAUUACAUUACUAACACGAGCCAAAAGAAUCAAAUCACUGAUUGAAUCAUUAAUCUAAGAUCAGAAUCAAAUACUAAUGUGAGUCAAAAAUAUCAAAUCACUCUGAGUCAAAAGAAUCAAAUACUAAUGUGAGUCAAACAUAUCGAAUCACUGAGUUAAUCACUAAUUCUAAGAUCAAAUCAAAUACUAAUGUAAAUCAAACAUAACAAAUCUCUCUGAGCCAAAAGAAUCAAAUACUAAAGCGAGUCAAAAGUAUCGAAUAACUCUGAGACAAAAGAAUCAAAUCACUGAUUUAAUCACGAAUGUAAGGUCAGAAUCAAAUACUAAUGUGAGUCAAAAGUAUCGAAUCACUGAGUCAAAAGAAUCAAAUCACUGAUUUAAUCACGAAUGUAAGGUCAGAAUCAAAUACUAAUGUGAGUCAAAUGUAUCUAAUCACUUAUGGGAGCCAAAAGAAUUCAAUUACUAACAAAAGCUAAAACAAUCCACUUAUUCGCACCAGGUUGCAUCACAACACCCAGUUGUUGAUUAUUUUCCUAACAUCAUUUUUUUUAUUCCUUACAUAAUAUAUUCUUUCCCAGCCCAUGUGUUACAUAAUAAAUCUAAGUUACUGAAUAUAAGAUUUUAGAUAAUAAAACAUUGUAUACAUAUAAUGCAGUAUAAAUAAUAUAAACAAAAGCGAAGUGAUGAACGUGUGCACGUCAGCGUCGUCAUCUUCGUAUUUCAGGUGCAGUCGCAGCUCUUUAAUCCGAUCAAUGAGUUUCCCAGAAAAGGGAUAUAGAUACAGAGUUGUGGCGCGCACAAGGUCAUGAAAACAAAAACCUUCUGCUCAGACUAUAUUCCUCUCUUCACUAGUCAUGAUUCAUAAUUUAUAAAUGAGUGUACUAAAUGUAUUAUUACUGUGAAUUUAAACGUAGUGUUUUGCGUAUUAAACAAGUCAAAUGUUAAGUUAACGGACUUCAGAUAGUACACGAGCUUUAACGUUUGUUUACUCCGCAAUCAUGUUUCACCCCCGGUGUAUUUAUUUAAAUUCCGUGUAACACAACACAUCCCGAACACUAAGCGAAAAGAUUACACAACCGUCCCAAAUUUUCCGCUAGACGUCAGACUUUCGCUCUGUUUAUCGCUGCGAUGCUUCCGUCUCUCUCUCCCUCGCCUCCUCCCCUCCGUCUUCAGGCUCCGGAGGGAUUCUUGCAUAACAACCAUCCCAGAGUAUGGAAAAUGGACUAGUAAGGCCACUCACAAAAGCAACAAAGCAAACACAGAGUUUUAAAAGCA